rnacentral:rRNA from 1 species
UACGGGGGGAGCAAGCGUUUUUCGGAUUUACUGGGCGUAAAGGGCGCGUCGGCGGCCACCGCAAGUCGACUGUGAAAUCUCCGGGCUUAACCCGGAAAGGUCAGCCGAUACUGCGGGGCUAGAGUGCAGAAGGGGCAACUGGAAUUCUCGGUGUAGCGGUGAAAUGCGUAGAUAUCGAGAGGAACACCUGCGGCGAAGGCGGGUUGCUGGGCUGACACUGACGCUGAUGCGCGAAAGCUAGGGGAGCGAACGGG